UGUUGAAACUCUUCUAUGAGCGCUGAGUUUUCACGACUAUGAGAGGCAUGUUACAUAACAAAUGCUCCACGGCUCCACCUUAACAUGGCUGUGAACUAGUGGUGAUUGCCACAUACCAAUUAAAAAAAAAACUUAAAGGCCUUGAAGAAUCAUUGUGGACCUAGAGAUAAAAUCCUAUUCACCACAACAGUGCUUCCUAAACAACUCUUUUCAAGUCUUUUAUUUUUCUCCGGUUGGGUUGUGGGCUCAAGCUUGCUGUUUUUGAGGGGUUAGAUGCUGAUCUAGAUGAUUUCUAAAAGUCUGAUUCAUGGGUCUUCCUCGCCUGAUUGGUGUGCUGGAAUGCCUGCCCAUGAAGGAUGCUCCCAACUUGGCAAGUUGUGCGAGAUUUUUGCAGGAUGUUCGGGGUAUUUUUUUGUUGGGAUAGGUGCUGGACGAACAUCUUCUUUGAUUAAAGAGACUUUAGGUUUUCGACUCUUUUGAUGACCUUUCGCUGCCGCAACCAUCUUAUGUUCCAUGGCUUAGGUUGCUUGCUGUUGUGUCGUUCUUCAAUGUUUACUGCGUUUUUCAGCCAUAUUCAUUUGGAUUUUUUUAUUUUUUUUGCCUUCUGCUAUUCUGUUCCUUUGGAAUCUAUUUCUACAUAUUACUUUCUUCACUCUUUUGAAAGGAUUUUGCUGCUCUUUAUUUGGCAGCUUGGAGAGAAAGAGUGUAUUGACACCCUUUCAUCUACAGCUAGAUAGCUUCAGCGCUGUAGUUAAAUCUGCUGAAAAAGAGUAAGCUGUCACCUACGAUACUUUUUGUUCCAGGUCUGUGUCUGUCCUUUAUUUUUUUUUCCUUUCGAUUUGGUUCUAAUAUUUCAGCUUGCGGCAAGAAAGCUUGCUAACAAGUGGCCGUAUGUUUUGUUUUUAAAUAUGUAGCUCUUCACCUAUUAUCCCAUGAAAACAAACUUUAUUCUGAUCACUGAAAUUAAUUUUCAUUCGUGAAGGAUAUUCCCAAAGAAAACAUUUCUUAGAGAGAUUCUUAAGGAAGAACUUAAUUACAACUCCAAACAGCCUAAUAAGUUCAGUGUAAUGUUAAUUUUGAUAGCUGGGGUAACCUCUCAGAAAAAUAUGUUCUUCAAUUGAGUGACCAUGUGCCCUUACAUUCGUGAUACCAGUUCCAAGCAGCAAAUGAAUGUUCUGAACAUCCUGCUUUUGUGAGAAAUAAUGGCGAAGGCUCAGAAGUUGCUGAAAAUGGAGUGAUGAAGUCAGCUGGUGGAACUGACAACGUAUGCAGUAGAGCAACUGGUUGUGACUGAUUGAUAUUUCUGAUGCUCAGCUUUUUGCUUGGGGGAAGGAGGGUGUCAUUUGAUUUUUGUUAAAAUUAAUUAGUUCAAGAACCCCAGAGCAAUUGAGGGAAGUAGAGGAAUAGGAUGAAUAAACAAAAACCAAACACACAAGAUAAGACAGCAUGAGAUUAACAGUCAUGUUACUAGAAAAGAGUAUCAUGCAGAAGAAUUGCUUUCCCUAAGCGUUGUGUUGGCAGCAAUACCUAUCAUCUUUUAGAUGAAAGCUAACACUCUUUCCUUGCAACAGGAGACCUGGGCAUCAGACCGUGCAUCCACACUUUUGAGUGGCACCGUCAAAAUCCCAUGCUUUUUUCUGCUGUUCUUCAUGGAGUCCAUUGUCGGUCCUGUUUUUCAUUUAUCGUUUAUAUAUAUAUAUAUAUAUAUAUAUAUAUAUAUAUAUAUGCGCGCGCGAGAGAGAGAGAUAUUUAAAUAAAAUCAGCUUAUUUUGUUAGUUUAAAUUAUUGGAUUUAUUUAUUUAAAAAAAAAACUCUUAUUGUAUCUAAA